UCCAGGCAGGUCUUGAACGUCUCCAGAGAAGGAGACUCCACCACCUCCCUGGGCAGCCUGUUCCAGUGCUCCGUUACCUCACUGCAAAGAAGUUCUUACACACACUUGUUUGAAACUUCCUAUGCUGCAGCUUAUGUCCGUUUCCCCUUGUCCUGUCUCCACAUACCACUGAAAAGAGACUGGCCUAACCGCAAUGGCCCCCACACUUCAGAUAUUUAUAAACCUGGAUCAGGUCCCCUGAUAAGGCCCUGGUUCCAUCUCAACAUUGUUCUGCUGCUUACUCAAGAGGUUUGCUAAAAUCACCACCCUCUGGAGGCCCCACAGAGACACGUAACACCUGUUACAUAAAGGGACACCGUGGCUGCCUCUUCCGAAGAGCCCACUCACCAUGCGCCCAUACAUUUUGAUGGGCAACCCACACUUAUCGCAGAAAUGGACGGGCGUAUCAUCCUUCUCCCCCAGCAAGUUUAUCUAGAAGAACAGAGAAAGGGGUGGGAAAAAGAGAAACAUCACUAAAGCUUCUCACUGCAGUCAUCACCAACCCACUCUUCCUGAAUUAUCAGACUGAAGCAAGACCACCACAAACAUGAAAAUGUAUUUUUGGUACACCAAAAAGUAAUGCAAGCGAUUUCAUCCUAGUGGAUACUUCUUAAAAUAACCUUCAGUUUGGUACGAUUCACAAAGUUCCACCAUUUCCCGUCCUUGAUUUUACCUUAUAGUCCCAAAAUAUGGGUCCGGGGAAUCUCCUUUGAUUUCCAAACAUUUCACCUCCUUUGCAUUCGUAUCGCUCCUCUUCAUUGAAAUCAAAUUCUUCUGUGGGAAGAGGAAAGAGAAGACAGAUACAAGGCAAUGCUGCUUCCCUAACUGACGCCGGCUGCUAUUAAGUGCGUGCACUGGUGAACAUCGAAAUCACCAGGGCAGGCUGCAACACUCCCAGUCUGCUGGGCCAUUCUGCAGAAAGGUACAACCAAAAUAGUGUGAAUUUGCUUGGGGAACUGGCAUCUUUUACUCCUCAUAGAGCAGCAGAACCGGGAAAACUGAAACAGGCUGUGCAGCUGUAAAGAAUCCUGGAUUCCAACACUGACCAAAGCCUUCAACAGUGCUGCAGAAUAUGCUGCCUCACUGCAGGGGCUCUUUUGUCCAGGUUUAAGUCUGGCACCAAAAGAAGCAAGGACAUGCCUAACACAGGCACUGAGAGACAACCUAGAAGGAAAAGUGCUGCCAAGGAUUGAUGCACACCCCGAUUUCCCCAGCUUUCAGCAAGUCAGCCUCAACCUACCACAGUAUCUCAUUUAUAGAAAAAUAAAAUCACAUCCUUCAAAACCA